rnacentral:rRNA from 1 species
AUGAAUUGUAUAAGUUGGAACUGCCGGGGGCUUGGGAACCCCGAGGCAGUUUGCGAGCUUCGCAAUGUUGUGAAGCAAGAAGGGCCUGCCCUAGUUUUUGUUAUGGAGACAAAGAUUAGGGGGAAGAAGGUGGAAAACUUGCAGAGUACGUUGGACUUUGCAGGAAGCUUUGGAGUGGAUAGUGAUGGUCUCAGUGGUGGGAUCGGCUUGUUUUGGUCAAGGGAUAUCACGGUCAGCUUUAAAAACUACAGCCAGAACCAUAUUGAUGUCACCAUUCAGAAGAAAGAUCUCUCUGAACCGGAGUGGCGAUUUACAGGUUUUUAUGGAGCUUCUCGAGUGGAGGAUCGGCACCACAGCUGGCGAUUCCUGAGAACGCUGCACAAUAUUAGUCACCAGGCAUGGAUUUGUAUGGGGGACUUUAAUGAAACGUUAUGCAACAAAGCAUUUUAG